rnacentral:rRNA from 1 species
CCUACGGGUGGCUGCAGUGAGGAAUAUUGGUCAAUGGACGAGAGUCUGAACCAGCCAAGUCGCGUGAAGGAAGACUGUCCUAUGGGUUGUAAACUUCUUUUAUAUGGGAGCAAAAUGAUCCACGUGUGGGAGUUGGUAUGUACCAGAUGAACAAGGAUCGGCUAACUCCGUGCCAGCAGCCGCGGUAAUACGGAGGAUGCGAGCGUUAUCCGGAUUUAUUGGGUUUAAAGGGAGCGUAGGUGGAUUGUUAAGUCAGUUGUGAAAGUUUGGGGCUCAACCGCAAAAUGGCAGUUGAAACUGGUAGUCUUGAGUACAGGAGAGGUAGGCGGAAUUCGUGGUGUAGCGGUGAAAUGCUUAGAUAUCACGAAGAACUCCGAUUGCGAAGGCAGCUUACUGGACUGCAACUGACGCUGAGGCACGAAAGCGUGGGUAUCAAACAGGAUUAGAUACCCCAGUAGUC